rnacentral:rRNA from 1 species
CGAGGGUGGACAGGUGGUGCUAUGGUUGUCGUCAGCUCGUGUCGUGAGAUGUUCGGUUAAGUCCGCUAACGAGCGCAACCCUCGCUGUGUGUUACAAGUGUCACACGGAACUGCCGGUCAUAAACCGGAGGAAGUGGGGAUGACGUCAAGUCAGCAUGGCCUUUAUAUCCUGGGCUACACACACGCUACAAUGGGAAGGGACAAUAGGUUGCGAAGCCGCGAGGCGGAGCCAAUCCAGCAAAACUUCCCUCAGUUCAGAUUGCAGGCUGCAACCCGCCUGCAUGAAGUUGGAGUUGCUAGUAAACGCAGGUCAGCCAUACUGCGUUGAAUACGUUCCCGGGGCUU